rnacentral:piRNA from 1 species
UCCUAAAGUGUCUUGUUUGUGCCAAG